ACGCUCGACACCUACGGGAGGCNGCAGUGGGGAAUAUUGCACAAUGGGGGAAACCCUGAUGCAGCGACGCCGCGUGGAGGAAGAAGGUCUUCGGAUUGUAAACUCCUGUUGUUGGGGAAAAAGAGGAUGGUACCCAACAAGGAAGUGACGGCUAACUACGUGCUAGCAGCCGCGGUAAUCUGAGCGGGCUGGCAAGGC
rnacentral:rRNA from 1 species